AAGACCGACACUUUUCUUGACUCUUCAAAGGUCUUGGAAUAAGGGGUGGGUAAGGACGGUGCCAGCCGCCGCGGUAAUACCGGCGCCUCAAGUGGUAGUCGCUUUUAUUGGGCCUAAAACGUCCGUAGCCGGUCUGGUACAUUCGUGGGUAAAUCAACCCGCUCAACGGGUUGAAUUCUGCGAGCACGGCCAGACUUGGGACCGGGAGAGGUGUGGGGUACUCUCAGGGUAGGGGUAAAAUCCUGUCAUCCUGAGAGGACCACCUGUUGCGAAGGCGCCACACUAAAACGGAUCCGACGGUCAGGGACGAAACCUAGGGGCACGAACCGGAUUAGAUACCCGGGUAGUCCUAGGUGUAAACGCUGUGGACUUGAUGUUGGGGGCGCUCCGAGCGCUCUCAGUGUCGAAGCGAAGGUGAUAAGUCCACUGCCUGGGGAGUACGGUCGCAAGGCUGAAACUUAAAGGAAUU
rnacentral:rRNA from 1 species